rnacentral:rRNA from 1 species
AUUGAACGCUGGCGGCGUGCUUAACACAUGCAAGUCGAGCGGUAACAGGUGUAGCAAUACAUGCUGACGAGCGGCGAACGGGUGAGUAAUGCUUCGGAAUCUGCCCAGUAGUGGGGAAUAACGUAGGGAAACUUACGCUAAUACCGCAUACGAACUACGGUUGAAAGCAGGGGAUCGCAAGACCUUGCGCUAUUGGAUGAGCCGAAGUCGGAUUAGCUAGUUGGUGAGGUAAAGGCUCACCAAGGCGACGAUCCGUAGCUGGUCUGAGAGGACGACCAGCCACACUGGAACUGAGACACGGUCCAGACUCCUACGGGAGGCAGCAGUGGGGAAUAUUGGACAAUGGGGGAAACCCUGAUCCAGCGACGCCGCGUGUGUGAAGAAGGCCUGCGGGUUGUAAAGCACUUUUAGUUGGGAAGAAAAGUUCAUGGCUAAUAUCCAUGAAUGCUGACGUUACCAACAGAAAAAGCACUGGCUAACUCUGUGCCAGCAGCCGCCGUAA